GUGCGGGCAUUCUGUGCCGUAACGCUGCUAGACGCAGCACGUCUAUGGAAGAACACGCAAGAGCGCGUUCUUGUCUGCGAUGCUGCAAGGAACCCUCGAGUUCUGUAAUGAUUCUACGGUCAUUGGAACAUGUUGCACAGCGGGAAGAUUGUGCAUGACGACAUGCAGUAGGACUGCAGGAUCGAUGAAUGAAUUCUCUGUUUCGUCGGCUUCCGGAAAGCAGUAUCGCCGUGAAACGCAUGGAUGUCGACAUCCAAAAUUUAUAACUGAAUGCCACAUGUUACCUUUUAUUGAUUUUAUGCUGAGCUGCUAAAAGCGUACUUUUUCAUGAAAUAAUGGCUUUUGCGGGAUAAACGUGUAGCGGAUUGUGUUUUUAUUGUUAAUGGCAUCGCCGCUGUGCUUUGAAAAACAUCGCUGUUACAUACCUGAAUAAAUAUAUUUUACAUCGAUUAGGCAUAUCGAAAUCGGUCAUUUUAGUAUAAAUCUAAGGGUUAUUACAUGGUCUCUAAUAUCUACAUUUGAUUCAAAAGUUACCAAUAAACUAUAUCACAAUUCUGACGAGGGUUGUGUACCGGUCUUAUGAAACCAGCGUCAAGAAGAUCAUCGAAUACUCAUUGGACCAUCUUGGCGUCUAAUCCGUAGACCAGCUACCAUUUACCACGACAGUUUUACCGCAUCUGUUAUGAACUCUGGUUAUAUCUGUACUUGGUACCAAGUUACGAACAUGUCUACGCGCUCCGGUUGUGUGCUGGGAAUAGAACGUAUCACGUUGUACUUGUGUGGCCUAUUGCAACUAAUUUUAUGUUUCAUUGAUAAUCAAUUUACGUUUCAUUGAUAAUCAAUUCGUUUUUUGCUUUUUUGUCCGAAUUUUGUUGUGUGUUCGCAACACCAGCCGGUUGGUUUCUUUAUCGACAAUGGGCAGCACGGUGCCACUUGAAAAGGACGAUCGAUUACUCUCUCGGUUGGUAAAAACAGGUUAUAAAAAUAAUGUCAAUGC